rnacentral:rRNA from 1 species
CCUACGGGUGGCAGCAGUGAGGAAUAUUGGUCAAUGGCCGGAAGGCUGAACCAGCCAAGCCGCGUGAGGGAGGACGGCGCAGAGCGUCGCAGACCUCUUUUGCCUGGGGAUAAAAGGCCGGACGGGUGGGGUUCUGAGUGUACCCGGAGAAAAAGCAUCGGCUAACUCCGUGCCAGCAGCCGCGGUAAUACGGAGGAUGCGAGCGUUAUCCGGAUUCAUUGGGUUUAAAGGGUGCGCAGGCGGGCCUUUAAGCCGGCGGUGAAAUUGUGGGGUUCACCCCCGCCGGGCAGUCGGAACUGGGAGCCUUGAGUGCGGUGGAGGCAUGCGGAAUGCGGGGUGUAGCGGUGAAAUGCAUAGAUAUCGCGCAGAACCCCGAUUGCGAAGGCAGUGUGCCGUGCUGCCACUGACGCUGAGGCACGAAAGCGCGGGGAUCGAACAGGAUUAGAUACCCGGGUAGUC